CUAACGAAGCAGAGAUGCAUUAGGUGCCGAAGGAAAGUGGACACAGGUGCUGCAUGGCUGUCGUCAGCUCGUGUCGUGAGAUGUUGGGUUAAGUCCCGCAACGAGCGCAACCCUUGCCGAUAGUUGCUACGAAAGGGCACUCUAUCGGGACUGCCGGUGACAAACCGGAGGAAGGUGGGGAUGACGUCAAGUCCUCAUGGCCCUUAUGGGUAGGGCUUCACACGUCAUACAAUGGUCGGUACAGAGGGCUGCCAACCCGCGAGGGGGAGCUAAUCCCAGAAAACCGAUCGUAGUCCGGAUUGCAGUCUGCAACUCGACUGCAUGAAGCCGGAAUCGCUAGUAAUCGCAGGUCAGCAUACUGCGGUGAAUACGUUCCCGGGCCUU
rnacentral:rRNA from 1 species